GGCCCCAUCGUCUAGCGGUCAAGGACAACCAGCUUUCGAUUGGUUAACACGGGUUCGAUUCCCGUUGGGGCUA
rnacentral:tRNA from 2 species